AGAGUUUGAUCAUGGCUCAGGACGAACGCUGGCGGCGUGCCUAACACAUGCAAGUCGAACGGGACCGGGGGCAACUUCGGUUCAGUGGCGGACGGGUGCGUAACACGUGAGGAACAUGACCUUCGGCGGGGGAUAGCCGGCCCAACGGCCGGGUAAUACCGCGUACGACCUUUCGGGGACAUCCCUGGAUGGUGAAAGCAGCAAUGCGCCGAUGGAGUGCCUCGCGGCCUAUCAGCUAGUUGGUGGGGUAACGGCCUACCAAGGCAACGACGGGUAGCUGGUCUGAGAGGAUGGCCAGCCACAUUGGGACUGAGACACGGCCCAGACUCCUACGGGAGGCAGCAGUGGGGAAUAUUGCGCAAUGGACGAAAGUCUGACGCAGCGACGCCGCGUGUGGGAUGACGGUCUUCGGAUUGUAAACCACUGUCGGGAGGGACGAAUACGCCGCAAGGCGGGUGACGGUACCUCCAAAGGAAGCACCGGCUAACUCCGUGCCAGCAGCCGCGGUAAUACGGAGGGUGCGAGCGUUGUCCGGAAUCACUGGGCGUAAAGGGCGCGUAGGCGGCCUGAUAAGUAGGGGGUGAAAUCCUGCGGCUUAACCGCAGGGCUGCCUUCUAAACUGUCAGGCUCGAGCACAGUAGAGGCAGGUGGAAUUCCCGGUGUAGCGGUGGAAUGCGUAGAGAUCGGGAAGAACAUCAGUGGCGAAGGCGGCCUGCUGGGCUGUUGCUGACGCUGAGGCGCGACAGCGUGGGGAGCAAACAGGAUUAGAUACCCCCGUAGUCC
rnacentral:rRNA from 1 species